CGUAGGUGCGAGCGUUGUCCGGAAUUAUUGGGCGUAAAGAGCUCGUAGGCGGUCUGUCACAUCGGAAGUGAAACUCGGGGCUCAACCCCGAGCCUGCUUUCGAUACGGGCAGACUUGAGGAAUGUAGGGAGAACGGAAUUCCUGGUGGAGCGGUGGAAUGCGCAGAUAUCAGGAGGAACACCAGUGGCGAAGGCGGUUCUCUGGACAUUAACUGACGCUGAGGAGCGAAAGCGUGGGGAGCAAACAGGCUU
rnacentral:rRNA from 1 species